rnacentral:rRNA from 1 species
CCUAAGGCGAGGCCGAAAGGCGUAGUCGAUGGGAAACAGGUUAAUAUUCCUGUACUUGGUGUUACUGCGAAGGGGGGACGGAGAAGGCUAUGUUGGCCGGGCGACGGUUGUCCCGGUUUAAGCGUGUAGGCUGGUUUUCCAGGCAAAUCCGGAAAAUCAAGGCUGAGGCGUGAUGACGAGGCACUACGGUGCUGAAGCAACAAAUGCCCUGCUUCCAGGAAAAGCCUCUAAGCAUCAGGUAACAUCAAAUCGUACCCCAAACCGACACAGGUGGUCAGGUAGAGAAUACCAAGGCGCUUGAGAGAACUCGGGUGAAGGAACUAGGCAAAAUGGUGCCGUAACUUCGGGAGAAGGCACGCUGAUAUGUAGGUGAAGUCCCU